rnacentral:sRNA from 1 species
CCGCAGCCCUUCCUGGGCGUUUCCUCCCUAGACUUGGGCCGUUGCACGUCCGUGCCAACGGCCCUUUUUUUGUCCG